GACGAACGCUGGCGGCGUGCUUAACACAUGCAAGUCGUACGGUAAGGCCCUUUCGGGGGUACACGAGUGGCGAACGGGUGAGUAACACGUGAGUAACCUGCCCACAACUUUGGGAUAACGCUAGGAAACUGGUGCUAAUACUGGAUAUGUGCUCCUGCUGCAUGGUGGGGGUUGGAAAGCUCCGGCGGUUGUGGAUGGACUCGCGGCCUAUCAGCUUGUUGGUGGGGUAGUGGCCUACCAAGGGGGCGGCGGGUAGCCGGCCUGAGAGGGUGACCGGCCACAUUGGGAUUGAGAAAGGCCCAAGCCCCCUGCGGGGGGAAGCAGGGGGAAAUUUGGAAAAGGGGGCGAAAGCGGGAUGCACAACCCCCGGGGGGGGGAUGCGGGCUUUGGGUUUAUAACCCGUUUCAGCAGGUGAAAAAGUGUUAGUGAGGGUACUGGAUAAAGAAGCACCGGCUAACUACGUG
rnacentral:rRNA from 1 species